UCCUAGGUUCACACCCUAGUGGAGCCACAGUCCAUGGAAGCCUGAAGCAGGGUCGGGCCUGUUUAGUACUUGGAUGGGAGACUACCUAGGAAGACCAAGUGCUGUAGGCA
rnacentral:rRNA from 1 species